UCAAUAAUUUAUUAAAAUAAGUACAACUGAUGUCAAUGAACACAGCCGCAGUCUGUGACCGACUGUGAGUUACUUGUAUCGUAACUAGAAUUUAUUUUGUUACUUAUGCUCAACACUGACAUAUAUGUUCGAUAUGACUUAUGUGGGUGGGGUAGAAACCUUCAAGCGGUGCCCCUGGAAACAGGGAAUGCAGCAUAUAUCAAGAUUCCAACGGAAUACUUAUACAAUGCAAAAUUCGCUGACCAAUUCUAUCAUCCACGGUCAAGUGGUAAAACGACCCUUUUCAUGGCCAAGUUUGACGUUGGUGUCAAUUAAUAUUUAAGGCUUAUCACCAUAAAAAGAGAUAUUGAUGUCUGAGAUGUGCAGGAAAGUGAUUCACUACAAUAUUUUGUCUGGACGACGAAGCUUCGAUCUCUGAUAGGACAUUAUCUAGGUUUACACAUAUAAUUAUUUAUACAUUUAUUAUACGUUCUAAAAUUAAUUUUA